rnacentral:rRNA from 2 species
UACGCCCGAUCUCGUCCGAUCUCGGAAGCCAAGCAGGGUCGGGCCUGGUUAGUACUUGGAUGGGAGACCGCCUGGGAAUACCAGGUGCUGUAAGCUU